GACGAACGCUGGCGGCGUGCUUAACACAUGCAAGUCGAACGGAAAGGCCCUGCUUUUGUGGGGUGCUCGAGUGGCGAACGGGUGAGUAACACGUGAGUAACCUGCCCUUGACUUUGGGAUAACUUCAGGAAACUGGGGCUAAUACCGGAUAGGAGCUCCUGCUGCAUGGUGGGGGUUGGAAAGUUUCGGCGGUUGGGGAUGGACUCGCGGCUUAUCAGCUUGUUGGUGGGGUAGUGGCUUACCAAGGCUUUGACGGGUAGCCGGCCUGAGAGGGUGACCGGCCACAUUGGGACUGGGAUACGGCCCAGACUCCUACCGGGGGGAACAGUUGGGAAUUUUUCCCAAUGGGCCGAAACCUUAUGCAGCAACCCCGCGUGCGGGAAGACGGCCUUCCGGUUGUAAACCGCUUUCGCCUGUGACGAAGCGUGAGUGACGGUAAUGGGUAAAGAAGCACCGGCUAACUACGUG
rnacentral:rRNA from 1 species